rnacentral:rRNA from 1 species
UCGGGUUGUAAAGCACUUUUGUCCGGAAAGAAAACUUCUGCCCUAAUACGGCGGGAGGAUGACGGUACCGGAAGAAUAAGCACCGGCUAACUACGUGCCAGCAGCGCGGUAAUCGUAGGGUGCGAGCGUUAAUCGGAAUUACUGGGCGUAAAGCGUGCGCAGGCGGUUCGUUAAGACAGAUGUGAAAUCCCCGGGCUUAACCUGGGAACUGCAUUUGUGACUGGCGAGCUAGAGUAUGGCAGAGGGGGGUAGAAUUCCACGUGUAGCAGUGAAAUGCGUAGAGAUGUGGAGGAAUACCGAUGGCGAAGGCAGCCCCCUGGGCCAAUACUGACGCUCAUGCACGAAAGCGUGGGGAGCAAACAGGAUUAGAUACCCUGGUAGUCCACGCCCUAAACGAUGUCAACUAGUUGUCGGGGAUUCAUUUCCUUAGUAACGUAGCUAACGCGUGAAGUUGACCGCCUGGGGAGUACGGUCGCAAGAUUAAAACUCAAAGGAAUUGACGGGGACCCGCACAAGCGGUGGAUGAAUGUGGAUUAAUUCGAUGCAACGCGAAAAACCUUACCUACCCUUGACAUGGUCGGAACCCUGCUG